GAUACAUCAACAAAUGAACAAAACUUCCUUCCCUCUGCUUAAGUCUCCUUACUCACAAACCCUCCAAUAUUAGGACACUUGCAAAUUUACAAUUCCUAUGAAAUCAUCAGACAUCAUAUCUAUUAGUGGGAAUCAUGCCACAGAAUGAUUCCCUUACAAAGAGUCAUGUUAUUCUAAUUUCUUUACCUAAAAUGGUUCAUGGCCUCAUAAGAAACCCACAUCAUGUUGCCUUGUUAGAGACAUUGUUGGAUAG
rnacentral:misc_RNA from 1 species